rnacentral:rRNA from 1 species
CUCGGUGGCUAUGGCGGAGGGGAUCUACCCGAUCCCAUCUCGAACUCGGUCGUCAAGCCCUCCAGCGUCGAUGGUACUGCACAGGUGACUGUGUGAGAGUAGAACGCCGCCGGGG